rnacentral:miRNA from 1 species
UGCUACAUCAGCUAGAGCU